rnacentral:rRNA from 1 species
AUGGCCGCAGCGGAGGAAACGGCCGUGGGAACCGCUGCGGAGGGGAGCGACCUGCGCUCCUUCUUCUCGACGCGCGGCGUCGCCGCCGAUCUUGCUGCGUUGGACGACCAGACCCUCAAGGCGCUGGACGAGAAGUACAUUAUCGCCAGGGACCUCGACGCCGCCACGGUGCUCUCCAAGAUCCACCACUUGGUGGGGCACAGCGAAGCCAGCAUCGUCCCCUACGAAGGGCUGUCCUACCAGCUUCCGUGCCGUGACCCGGGGCAGCACGAGUACGACCCCACACUCCGGCAGCUUUGCCUGCGCCGCGGCAAGGUCGAAACUUGCACGGUCGGCGACCCCAGGACCUCGCGCAAGGCCGAGAUCAUCACGGCCACGCUAUCCUUGGUCAAGAAGACCGUCCUGAGUGGCCAUCGCUCGUUUAGCGACGGUCUGCGCUACGGCGAUGAAGUCUUCAAGCAGGACAAGAAGACCGUGGAUGAUGCCCUGCUGGACAUCUGCUGCCUACUCGAGUGCCCAAGGGCAUCUCUCAAAAUGCUUGAACUUGGUCCGGGCACGGUCGUUGGGCCACUGAUAUUCACAAUGGAAGAUGGGGCAGAGAACCAUUGCAGGUCAUUCGGUCCGAGUGGAGCCCGGGUACAUGAGGGGAUCUCUAAUAUUACUGUCGAACAAGGCGCAACGGUCAAUUUCAUCCUACUAGUCCAGAGGGAUGAUGUUUUUUGGGAUUUUGCUCGGUCGCAACUCCGCCACGAAUUGAAUUGUGUGGUCAUGACAGGCGGCGAUGGGGAACCAAAUGUCAUGACACGGGCUUUCUUGCGCAAACUCAAGGAUUGUCUGUCUGUCCCUGUGUAUGCUCUCACCGAUUCAGAUCCAGAGGGAAUUUCGAUCUUUUGUACCUACAAGUUUGGAUCAGCAGAGAUGCCAUUUGACAAUGUGGGUCUUACCAUUCCUGAUAUCAAGUUGAUUGCGUAUAUAGGUGAUGAUGCCCUUCAUUUGAGUCACCUUCAACCGCUGGCCAAGCGCGACAGAUCGAUUCUUAAGGGAUUGUGUGCCCAAAAGCAUGUAAUAGGUGAUGAACAAUUGAGGGAGAACAUACAUUUCAUGAUGAACAGGGGCUUAAAAUGCAAAAUCGAAGCUUUAUAUUAUCUUCAGUACCCUCCUACUGACUACAUCCGCAAAGCAGUAGGCAAUCUGGAGGACAUCUAA